GCAUUUGCAUGUUGCGGAGUGAUUAGUGGGUUUGAAAAGCGAACCGUGGCUCGGCCUCAUUUCCCGCUCUGGUUCAGGCGCAGGAGGAAGUGUUUUGCUGGAGGAUGAUGACAGAGGUCAGGCUUCGCUAAUGGGCCAGUGAGGAGCGGUGGAGGCGAGGCCGGGCGCCGGCACACACACAUUAACACACUUGAGCCAUCACCAAUCAGCAUAGGAAUCUGAGAAUUGCUCUCACACACCAACCCUGCAACAUCCGUGGAGAAAACUCUCAGCAGCAACUCCUUUAAAAUACCGUCAUUUCAAACCAUUGUGGUCUUUAAGCAACAACAGCAGCACAAAAAACCCCAACCAAACAAAACUCUUGACAGAAGCUGUGACAACCAGAGAGGAUGCCUCAUAAAGGGGGAAGACUUUAACUAGGGGCGCGCAGAUGUGUGAGGCCUUUUAUUGUGAGAGUGGACAGACAUCCGAGAUUUCAGAGCCCCAUAUUCGAGCCCCGUGGAAUCCCGCGGCCCCCAGCCAGAGCCAGCAUGCAGAACAGUCACAGCGGAGUGAAUCAGCUCGGUGGUGUCUUUGUCAACGGGCGGCCACUGCCGGACUCCACCCGGCAGAAGAUUGUAGAGCUAGCUCACAGCGGGGCCCGGCCGUGCGACAUUUCCCGAAUUCUGCAGGUGUCCAACGGAUGUGUGAGUAAAAUUCUGGGCAGGUAUUACGAGACUGGCUCCAUCAGACCCAGGGCAAUCGGUGGUAGUAAACCGAGAGUAGCGACUCCAGAAGUUGUAAGCAAAAUAGCCCAGUAUAAGCGGGAGUGCCCGUCCAUCUUUGCUUGGGAAAUCCGAGACAGAUUACUGUCCGAGGGGGUCUGUACCAACGAUAACAUACCAAGUGUGUCAUCAAUAAACAGAGUUCUUCGCAACCUGGCUAGCGAAAAGCAACAGAUGGGCGCAGACGGCAUGUAUGAUAAACUAAGGAUGUUGAACGGGCAGACCGGAAGCUGGGGCACCCGCCCUGGUUGGUAUCCGGGGACUUCGGUGCCAGGGCAACCUACGCAAGAUGGCUGCCAGCAACAGGAAGGAGGGGGAGAGAAUACCAACUCCAUCAGUUCCAAUGGAGAAGAUUCAGAUGAGGCUCAAAUGCGACUUCAGCUGAAGCGGAAGCUGCAAAGAAAUAGAACAUCCUUUACCCAAGAGCAAAUUGAGGCCCUGGAGAAAGAGUUUGAGAGAACCCAUUAUCCAGAUGUGUUUGCCCGAGAAAGACUAGCAGCCAAAAUAGAUCUACCUGAAGCAAGAAUACAGGUAUGGUUUUCUAAUCGAAGGGCCAAAUGGAGAAGAGAAGAAAAACUGAGGAAUCAGAGAAGACAGGCCAGCAACACACCUAGUCAUAUUCCUAUCAGCAGUAGUUUCAGCACCAGUGUCUACCAACCAAUUCCACAACCCACCACACCUGUUUCCUCCUUCACAUCUGGCUCCAUGUUGGGCCGAACAGACACAGCCCUCACAAACACCUACAGCGCUCUGCCGCCUAUGCCCAGCUUCACCAUGGCAAAUAACCUGCCUAUGCAAGUAAGUGCAGCUGGUGGUGGCCUGCACAAUCCAGGCCCCAGAGAAGUGAGGAGUGGCUCAAGGCCUGUGGACCUCAUUGGCUGUGUCUGCACCCUUGAGAGCUUUUUGCACUACAGUGAUUGGUUUGACCAGUCAAGUCGGAGACAGUCAAUCCCAUCACUUUUAAGUGAUUGACUCAUUAAUUCAUGCCCUAAAAAAAUUAGUAAUAAAAAUCUGUCCAGUUUUGUCAAGUUGAUCUGCCUUUUAUUAUACUGUUACCUUGAUAAUGUUGGGUGGUGGUGGGGCAUGUUUUGGGUAGCAGGGAGCCUUGCACCAGAAAGUGGAAAUAAUGCUGGCACAUUAUCAGAUAGCAGAUUAGUAGUUUAAAAUUUGGGUUUAUAUUAAUGUGUUUGUAUGCUAAAUAUACAAUCUGUGCGUGCAUUUGGGGCAUUACUUUGGAUAUAUGUGAUAAACUAGUGAGAAAGAAAAAAAGGAUCGGAAAUGGGAUUCAUAUUUACAUGGUGAGAUAUACAUAAUAUAAUGAGAAUGCUAGUUUUCUGUCUGUAUCUACAAUAAGAAAAGGCACAGCAGGUAUUUGCCGGAAAUUUAGUGUGUCUUUGCUGUGAAUGGUGUGAUGAGUUUGUGGCCCUCCUAGCUGCCUGGGAAGCUUGAUGCUAUUCACUUGGUAUGACAGCCUGCCUCUCCUCUUAGUUCUGUCCCAAAUAUCUAUUAGCCCCUACAUUUAGAGGUCCUGCACUAGGUUCACCCUUUAUGAUGUAAGUUGGAUAAGGCAGAUGGUUUGUACUAGACCUUUGUUGCUGGAUGGAUUCUUGAUAGGAAAAAUGUCCAUCUUCUGGUAGGCCUUUCCCGGUGGUUUUCCUAGAACUCCCGUUUGUGCAACAAUUAGAGAUAUUAGAUGGUACGAUAUUGGGCAGCAUGAGCCUCUGCUGGAAACAGUUCUGGGGCUACACUGAUUGUUUAUUCUCCAUUGAACAUUUUUUGCUGGAUUUCAAAUCCAAAUAACAGCAAAAUAAAUGUUUCACAGUCUUCAGACUAAUACAGGAGCAGCUAGAUAAGCAACUUCAGAGGAAUUAUUCAUGUUUAUUUUUAUUGCAUCUGGAUAUUAUUGGCCAUAGUACAAUUGAUGUAAAUUAAGGGAUUAACAGCCCAUUAGUUGGUGUUGCUAUAACUGCGUUGGAAUUUUCCAGAAGUCAGGUUGCCUAGAGGAAGUCAUUGCAGGAAUUAGAAACAAAUGCAAGCUGAAAUUCUGGCAGGGCCCUCAAGGCCUGUUUGCCUCUUUGAACUUGAUGAUAGCAUUCAUCAUCUGACUUUAAUAAGGCCACAGAGUGUCUUGUUCAGUUUCAUAUAUUGUAACAACAUCCAGGUUUCUGUGAAGAUAGAUAGCAAAAUGUGUAUGUGAGAAAAUAAUAAGACGAACAUGUAGAUGCUGCAAUUAUAUUAGGGCUGUUUCCACAUACAUACCGGUGUGGGGAAUCAAUCUAUUUCAAACACUGACUUUAAAAAAUUACAUAAUUUGUAUAAUUCAAAAAGUACAUGCAUUCAUUAAGCAUAAAGAAAAUCAAAAUGAUCAAUAACUUUACUCUUCAGAGAAAACUACUCUUUGAAUUUUGGAGUGGGUGAGCCCAUUUGUCUAUCCCUUUAUUCAUUCUCUUGACCAAAAUCAUCAUUUUACCAAUGGUGGGUGUCUUCCUCUGAACCUUCUCUGAUAUGCUUCCCUCUCUGAGCAUACGGAUUUUGGAAAUUAAACAUUUCUCCAGUUUGCAGAGAAGAGAAAUGAUAGUAUACUGUACUAUCAUCUGACCUGCUUGUUCCCGACACACUUCUUUUAAUUCAUCCCAAGUUUGCUGCCAUGGCAUAGUACCAUGAGAGCUCAUGAGGCGUUUUGUUAGGAGAAAGGUUUACCUCCUCAGUGCUGCCAUUUCGAACAGUUCGAGGGUAGCAACAGUUUUCUAGUUAUAAGUCAGUCUGGGCUUUUGGGUCUGUUAAGAAGUCAUGGUUAAUUCUCAGGAUGGAGGUGGGUUACAUUUACUAACUCAAUCUGGGGUUUGGGUCUAUUAGGAAGUCAUGGUUAAUUCUCAGGAUGGGGGUGGUUAUAUUUACUAACACUUCUGAUCACUUUAACUUGGGGUCAUUACAGAUCUGCUUCUUCAAAGAAUCUUUAAUCCCAUGAGUGAAAGGUUCCCAAGGUCCCUGAACCAUACUUUACUGAGAGCUCCUCCCACUGCUCUCUGUCCCAAAGCUUGAGAUAUGGGCUCUGGGGGUCACAGGGUUCCCAAAUAAAUCCAGAUUUGCAGGGAGAGGGGAUGUGUUUUGAUGAAGGUCCUCAUGCUAUAGGUUCUUCAAAGAUGCCAGCAGAGGUUAGAGACAAAAAUCCUAUUAAUUUAUGGAUAGUGGCAACCAUCUAGCUGGACAGUUGUCAGAACCUACAGUGCUUUAGAGACUUCAUACAUAGGCAACCUUCUUCUAGCUGUGGCCAGUGGAAGGACUAGCUCGCGGCCCAAUCUUAGAUUUAUCAUAUGGAAUUCCAGUACUUCACGUGAAGGCAUCUUUAAUGAUCAGACUUGUUGGCAGAGUUCCUCGGGAGGAGGGAGCCUGGGGCUGUGGCUGUGUGAUGUGUUCCUCAGUAACCACAGGUUUGCCUCUCUCCUCACAGCCCCCAGUCCCCAGCCAGACCUCCUCAUACUCCUGCAUGCUGCCCACCAGCCCUUCGGUGAAUGGGCGGAGUUAUGAUACCUACACCCCCCCACAUAUGCAGACACACAUGAACAGUCAGCCAAUGGGCACCUCGGGCACCACUUCAACAGGACUCAUUUCCCCUGGUGUGUCAGUUCCAGUUCAAGUUCCUGGAAGUGAACCUGAUAUGUCUCAAUACUGGCCAAGAUUACAGUAAAAAAAAAAAAAAAAAAAAAAAA
rnacentral:sRNA from 1 species